CAGCAGUUUCAGUCACUGACGUCGUUCCUUUGUGGCGCGGGAGGAACCACCUUGCUUCCAGUUCUUGCCGGAAGCUCUGAGCACCUUUAGAGUCAUUUCUUAGGAAAUGAAAUGCCGGAGAAGGUGCGAAAUCGCCCGAGGGCCUGGGUCCCCGCUUCCCUUGAAGGUCAGGGAGCAGCAGUCUGCUCUCCUGGGUCACUGACUCACUUGGCCCGUCCCCACGUCCCUGGGAGGUGGUGAGGUCACCCUGGAGAGACUGGGAAGUCUGUCCUCCACGCUUUCUCCUUGAAGUAAACUUUAAAAAUAAAUAAAAAGCACUAAUUUUUAUAACAAA